rnacentral:rRNA from 1 species
CGGUGUUUAACUGGCGUGAUGUGGGACGUCCUACCGGUGGGCUUAGCCUCGCGAGGGGCGGCCCAACUAAUAUCCCGUCGCGGUGCUCUUUACUGAGUGUCGAGUCGGGCCGGUACGUUUACUUUGACAAAUUAGAGUGCUUAAGCAGCUAUCCUCGCCUGAAUACUGCGUGCAUGGGAAUAAUGGAAUAGGACUCAUCUAUUUGUUGAUUUCGACCCGAGUAUGAUAUAGGGACAGAUGGGAGCAUUCGUAUGCGACGUUAGAGGUGAAAUUCUUGGAUCGUCGCAAGACGGACAGAAGCGAAAGCAUUUGCCAAAAAUGUUUUCAUUAAUCAAGAACGAAAGUUAGAGGUUCGAAGGCGAUCAGAUACCGCCCUAGUUCUAACCAUAAACGAUGCCAGCUAGCGAUCCGCCGAAGUUCCUCCGAUGACUCGGCGGGCAGCUUCCGGGAAACCAAAGCUUUUGGGUUCCGGGGGAAGUAUGGUUGCAAAGCUGAAACUUAAAGGAAUUGACGGAAGGGCACCACCAGGAGUGGAGCCUGCGGCUUAAUUUGACUCAACACGGGAAACCUCACCAGGCCCAGACACCGGAAGGAUUGACAGAUUGAUAGCUCUUUCUUGAUUCGGUGGGUGGUGGUGCAUGGCCGUUCUUAGUUGGUGGAGCGAUUUGUCUGGUUAAUUCCGAUAACGAACGAGACUCUAGCCUGCUAAAUAGGCGUACCUUAUGGUAUCGCGAAGGCCCCCGGCUUCGGCCGGUGGGUUUUUACUACCAACGUACAAACAAAUCUUCUUAGAGGGACAGGCGGCUUCUAGCCGCACGAGAUUGAGCAAUAACAGGUCUGUGAUGCCCUUAGAUGUUCUGGGCCGCACGCGCGCUACACUGAAGGAAUCAGCGUGUGU